AAUGAACGUUGGCGGCGUGGAUUAGGCAUGCAAGUCGAGCGAGAACCCGCAAGGGGGACAGCGGCAAACGGGGUAGGAAUGAUUGGUGACGUACCCUCGGGACGGGGAUAGCCACGGGAAACUGUGGGUAAUACCCGAUAAUCUCCCAGGUUUGAAGACCUGGGUGCAAAGGUGUGAUUCCACCGGAGGAGCGGCCAAUCUGGUAUUAGCUAGUUGGUAGGGUAACGGCCUACCAAGGCUACGAUGCCUAGGGGGUGUGAGAGCAUGGCCCCCACCACUGGGACUGAGAUACUGCCCAGACACCUACGGGUGGCUGCAGUCGAGAAUCUUCGGCAAUGGGCGAAAGCCUGACCGAGCGACGCCGCGUGCGGGAUGAAGGCCUUCGGGUUGUAAACCGCUGUCAGAGGGGAUGAAGUUCUAGGAGGUUCUCCUUCUAGAUUGACAGAGCCUCAGAGGAAGCACGGGCUAAGUAUGUGCCAGCCGCCGCCGUAAAAC
rnacentral:rRNA from 1 species